GAUGAACGCUGGCGGCGUGCUUAACACAUGCAAGUCGAACGAUGAAGCCCAGCUUGCCGGGUGGAUUAGUGGCGAACGGGUGAGUAACACGUGAGUAACCUGCCCUUAACUCUGGGAUAAGCCUGGGAAACUGGGUCUAAUACCGGAUAGGAGCGUCCACCGCAUGGUGGGCGUUGGAAAGAUUUAUCGGUUUUGGAUGGACUCGCGGCCUAUCAGCUUGUUGGUGAGGUAAUGGCUCACCAAGGCGACGACGGGUAGCCGGCCUGAGAGGGUGACCGGCCACACUGGGACUGAGACACGGCCCAGACUCCUACGGGAGGCAGCAGUGGGGAAUAUUGCACAAUGGGCGCAAGCCUGAUGCAGCGACGCCGCGUGAGGGAUGACGGCCUUCGGGUUGUAAACCUCUUUCAGUAGGGAAGAAGCGAAAGUGACGGUACCUGCAGAAGAAGCACCGGCUAACUACGUG
rnacentral:rRNA from 1 species